GCGCCUGUAGCUCAGCAGGAUAGAGCACGUGGCUACGAACCACGGGGUCGGGGGUUCGAAUCCUCCCGGGCGCACCA
rnacentral:tRNA from 1 species